GUUUCCGUAGUGUAGUGGUUAUCACGUGUGCUUCACACGUACAAGGUCCCCGGUUCGAACCCGGGCGGAAACA
rfam:Lucilia cuprina strain LS Scaffold427, whole genome shotgun sequence.